rnacentral:lncRNA from 1 species
GGGGGCGGGGGACAGUGUCUUCAGCAAAAGUCUGCGGAUAGAAAGGCCCCGCUCCUGUCCGGACAGCAGGAAUGGGAGAGCCGCCUCCAACCCCAGCCCCAUGGAGCAGGGCAGAAACGCUGCCCACUGCCCUGCUCCUGCCACCAGGAAGGGCGUGUGGGGGGCCACUUUCUGUAAAGAAGAAACCGCCUGAACAACAAGUGGCUCAAGGCACCCUUGUCUAACGACCAGGGACACUGAGCGCCAGGGCCCAAGUCACCAGCAAGAGAAAACCCAGGCGGAGCCCAGGGUGUCCCCCACUGCCCACCAGCCACUGCGGUCAACGUGAAGGGCAAGGGUGCAAGCGGGAUCGCGUCACAGGGAGCCGAGUGAGCCCAGAAAGUAGGAGAAGGACGUUUCCACCCACCUGGAGCGCAGUCCGUUUGCAGCCGGCGGCAGAAUGCUGCUGUCUCCAUCAAUAAAGUCCAUGUUAGCCACCUAGAGGAUAAAAUACCACGAGGAGGAGUAGCAAGGUGCCCCUGUUGACAGAUCUUGAAGCACAAGCUCACUCCCAGAAGCACAGCUGCCUAGUCAACAAACAGCUGACAAUACAUGUCUGAAGGAGCUCAGCUGGGAACAGAAGAAUGGCCCCACUGAGCCUAGCCUAAAUGGCGGACCAUCUCAAUUAUGAGCUAAUAAGUUUUGGAUGAUUUGUUAUGCUGCCAUACCUAACUAAUACAUGCACCCAGUGCAGAUUGGGUGUCAAGAUUUAAAGACAGUUUGAUUAUUAGUCACCUUCUAACAAUGGGCACCCUAAAGGUACUGACAUUUUUCCCGAUUUAAAGUUAAAUGUCUUGUAAGGCAAUGUUGACUGAUGCAGGAAUACUUGUAGACAUGUAUGCAUGUGAUUGGUGCUUAUAUGCACACAGUCCCCCACACCACAGGAAAAAACCGAUGACCAGAGCCUGACCAUUAUGGCCAAGGCCAAAUAGCCAAAGUUUGCCUUUAAUCUAUUUUCUUCAUAUCUAAAAAUUGGAGGUCAAUACUGUGGACAGGUCUGAAGACAUAGAGUUUUGUUCUCCUGUGGCCCCAUCAUUCUUCAGUGGUCUACCUGUGGUUAUUUUAUUCUUGUUACCUUCUGCUCUUUCUAUGACCACUAUCUGUUCCACCCUUGAAACUGAAGACAGAUGUUAGUAGAAAGAGGCUGUUCCCUCAUGUCGGGCAUGUGGGAUACGAUGAGGUUUCUCUUCAAAUAGCCUGAUCAAUCUUUUAUUCUUUAAUUCAUAGUACCCACACACACACCCCUUUUUUUCCUUUUUCUCCUUUUUCCUUUCUGCCUUUGUUAGAUGCCCAGGCACGCCACAGUACCAGGCAUUAUCAGUACCAGCUCACAUUUCUUCCCUUAUUUGGAAAGAGGACUAACUUUCUAGCUCAAUGCAGACACCCCUUCCCCUUCCUCUCUGCAUUCUUUUGCAUGCCCACCUUAUCUAAAAAAAUCAAAUGUUUAGCCAACCAGGAUUAGUUCAGAUUGUACGACCCGACCCUGGCCAAUGGGGAAAGGGUACAGGGGCAGGACUUGUGUCAGGAAUAAAGGCUCUUGUGCCCCUUUGUUCAGGUGUGCUCUCAUGGUGACUGGACAAGAACGCACCCCUCUGUGCAGAACUAAAAUUGCUUUGCUAGGAAUCCUUUGUUCGAGUGUUCAAUUUCCUUAUGAUUUUGAGCGUUAUUCCUAACAGGAAGAAAAGGGAUAUUCAGGCCUUUCACAGACCUGACAACAGAGCUGCACUUCAAUGUGACAGGUAUUGACCAUGUGUGACUCCUGGGAGCCUGGAAUGUGGCUGGUCUGAGCUGCAAUUUGCAAGAAAGGUAAAAUGCAGAGUUAGUUUCAAAGAUUUAGUUCCAUAAAUAUAAAAAUAUACAACAUAUAGAUAAAAAUAUCUAUAUAUAAUAUGGAUAAAAAUACAUAGCAUAAUGCAAUAUAUAGAUACAUAAUUAUGUUAUAUAUAAAUAUAUAUCUCAUUCAUAAUUAUACAUUGCUCACAUAUUAAAAUAAUAUUUUGGAUAUAUUGCUUUAAUUAAAUUGUUACAACAGACG